GUAGGUGAACCUGCGGAAGGAUCAUUAUUGAAUCUGGGUGGCUGCCAGCGAUGGCUGCCGCCUUCCUCCGAAUGUACCCCGUGAACUGUGAUUGCCACCACGUCAGCGAAUGUAACACUGCACUGCGCAGUCAUAUAACAAAACACAACUUUUAGCAACGGAUCUCUUGGCUCUC
rnacentral:misc_RNA from 1 species